rnacentral:rRNA from 1 species
UACAGAGGUCUCGAGCGUUAGGCGGAAUCACUGGGGUUAAAGCGUGUGUAGGCGGGUCGUUAAGGGCCUUGUGAAAUCCCAUGGCUCAACCAUGGAACUGCUGGGCAUACUGGCGAUCUUGGGCCACCUAGGGGCGAGCGGAACAGAUGGUGGAGCGGUGAAAUGCGUAGAUAUCAUCUGGAACGCCAAUGGUGAAAACAGCUCGCUGGGGGUGUGCAGACGCUGAGACACGAAAGCCAGGGGAGCGAACGGG